rnacentral:rRNA from 1 species
CGCACCGUAAACGAUGAUUACUCGUUGUUGGCAAUAUGACCGUCAGCGACCAAGCGAAAGCGAUAAGUAAUCCACCUGGGGAGUACGCCGGCAACGGUGAAACUCAAAGGAAUUGACGGGGGCCCGCACAAGCGGAGGAGCAUGUGGUUUAAUUCGAUGAUACGCGAGGAACCUUACCUGGGCUUGAAAGUUAGUGACCGGUUCUGAAAGGAAUCUUUCCGCAAGGACACGAAACUAGGUGC